UUCUUAAAUCUUCUGUUAUUGAACUUGAUAUUUAUAUAAAGUCACUCAAAAUAAUUCACAAUCUCUUGUUAUUCAACCAACAAUUUGUAAAUAUCAAAUCAAAUAUACUGUUAUUGAAAAUUUCACUAUUUUUUCAUAAACGAUUACUAAAACUGAUUUUAGGAGACUUUAUACACUUUUUUAGUUGAAAAAUAUGACUGCAAAAUCACAUCUCUAUAGGUGAAACUUUGAAAGACUUCCAAGAAAAACAAUUGUAUCGAGAAAAAAGUAGAGCUAUUGACCAAAUUUAUUUUCACUCUAUUGACACCUCUCGAAGUGAUAGUUUUCCAUCUCUUGUCUUCUUCCAUUGAACUUGCAGUUCCAGGAACAAUCGCAUAGAUAAUUGAAGGAUUUCGCGUCGCGUCGCUCCUUGUCACUCUCUCCAAUUGCUAUCUGCCAAAAUCCUUUGAUUAUUUUUGGAUUUCUCUUGAAAUCUUUCGAGAGUUCAGAUGUCGUUGAAAUCACAACUAGCUAGUUCUGUCAUCACACUCUCUUCUCUGCAUUCUCUAAAUAACAAAGAAAAGGCUUCUUCUUGUGUCUUCUCUGGUGUUCUUAUUUACAGAACUGGGUUUUGAUGCUUCUUCGGUGUGUUAUUAAAAAAACCAGUUUUGGGAUUAUAUGAUUGCUAGUGUUCUGUUUUUGUUAGUCUUUUUGAGUAACGAGCUCUUACUUUCUCUUUUAUGUUAAUUUCCUAUGCUUUUUUUUUUUGUAUGGCAUGGCAAAUCUUAGCCAGGUAGCCCCAUUAGACUCUUGUGAACUCUUACCGUUGUGUUUCAUGUGCUAUUAAAUAAGGGCAUUCUGCCUAAUCUCCUGCAGGUGUUAGGUUCUAUGAUACCAAUGAGGAGGAGCCUCUGUUAAGUUCUAUGAUGUCUUUACAAAUUCGAGUCCAUGCCAUUAACUUGCAUGCUUUACUAAAAAUUUGGGUGGGAAAUUGAUCAGUAUGAUUCUCUUUGCAGCCACAUGCAUGUUGAUUUUAGAUUGAAAUUGCAUGGUGGAGAUCUCAUGAAGAGAGUUGCUAGCGCUGAUCCACGGGCUGCACCAUUAAAAUAAGGCUCAAGACCUCAAAGACAUACACAAAAAGGCAACAGACAUGUAAAAUCAACAGUCCCAAGCGUACUUCUCAUCAAUCAAAUCCUCUUUUACUCCAGAACGAUAACAACAUCGAACAUGAAAAAUUACUUGCUUAGAGAAUCACAACCUCGGUGUAUUAAAAUCCCAGCUUUCUUGUUCUUUUUUGGUGUUGAGUUCUGUUACUUUCAUAUACUGUUUCUUUUGGAUUUACAAAAUCCUCACCUAUCCUUAUAGGAACAUCUGUAACUUUUUCAUAUAUUAUCUCUUGAAAUAAGUUCGUAGUUAUUUUAUCACUUUUGCUUUGCAGAAUAUAUAAAGCAAUGAAUGAGAAGAAGUCUACAAGAGGCUUCAUGAGUCAAACAAUUGAGGAAGUCCAUGAAGAUACUCUCUUUUCCUAUGUGCACUUCCCCUUCACAUGUUCUCGUUUUCAUUGAUGGGAGAAUACAUAUGCUGAAUUCGUAUAAUUGAGUCAUGUACUCUUCUUUGCUCGUUGAGCUA